GCAAGGGAGGGCCAACAUCUUUGACUCUUCAAAUCUCUGUGCUGAAGAAAAUGGAGCAAUACCAACAAAAAUUGGGAGUUUGGAACUGGAAAGUAAACAGGAAAUACUGCUAAAAUACCCAGUUAAAUCUUACAGCCAGACUAUGAGAAUGGAGUUAGUACUACCAGCAUUUUAUAACAGCCCUUCCCAUCAAAACACAGAAAUUCAUGGCUUGUUCGAAGCUAGGUGUGCUGUGCUCCCUAGGUCUGAAGGCCUUGUGAAUGACUGACUUCACCCUUCUGCACACUGAUCUUCCUAACAAUGUUCCAAAAGGUGUCUACUGAUUCACGGGAAAGUCUUGACCACUGCCAGGAUGAUACAGGUAGUCUACCCACACUCUGCCCUCUAGGCCAGCAGUUAUUAUGGUAUACACAUGCCCUUCAUUAACUGUUUCACUUUGCACACUGUAUCAGAAACAGUCUAACAGUGUCUUGAGGGAAUGAACCCAGAAGGUGGGUUUUCACUUGUGAGAGUGGGAGAUAGUAAUUUGAUAACGUUAUGUAUUAUGUUUCUUUCUGGUUUUUCCACUUAGAAAUAAUAAAA
rnacentral:lncRNA from 1 species